rnacentral:misc_RNA from 1 species
CGAGUCCUCAGUCCAACUUGCGAGAACAGGAUAGGUACCUACCGAUCGCUAAUAUUGGACGCAUAAUGAAGAAGGCAUUGCCUGCUAAUGGGAAGAUCGCUAAGGAUUCUAAAGACACGGUUCAGGAAUGCGUAUCUGAGUUCAUCAGUUUUAUUACUAGCGAAGCUAGUGACAAGUGUCAGAAAGAGAAGAGAAAGACGAUCAACGGAGAUGAUUUACUAUCAGCCCUGGCUACCUUGGGAUUUGAGGACUACAUUGAACCACUGAAGGUCUAUUUGACUCGAUACAGAG